rnacentral:sRNA from 1 species
UAUUACAGGACAUACCAGAAGCAAUGCA